UCUCACUGAACGAGAUUAACCGAGUUUAUCUGUGGCAGCCAGCACUGUUUCACCUGUUCCCAUAUUAAAACGAUUUUCUUAUUUCAAAAAGGUCAGUGGGUCUUCUGGACACUGGUGGGUGGAUAUGGCCUUCUCGGCUUACUCGUGUGUGCUCUGGUCGUGGCCGUUGUCAGAUAUAAGAGAAAACUGUCGCGGCUGAGAAUACAUCAGAAAGAGGAUACAUAUUGUCUGAAGAUGGGGGACAAAGCUCACAAGGACUACCUGACGGCGCAGGAUGCAGAUGGGGGAAAUAGUGACAAUGUGUAUGAAGUGAUCUGAGAGGUCUUAACGAAACAGUUUCCAGAACCUUGGACUUUGGCCGAUCGCAGUGGCAUAUAUGUGUGUGUGGCAUUGUACGUUUCAGACUGCAAGAUAUUAGUACAAGAUCUGUUAACCGUGAACAAUCAACUGUGCUUUAUGUGUUUUCUGCUGUCAAUAAAUAUAUUACUCAUA